rnacentral:rRNA from 1 species
UUGAACGCUGGCGGCAGGCCUAACACAUGCAAGUCGAGCGGAUGAAGGGAGCUUGCUCCUGGAUUCAGCGGCGGACGGGUGAGUAAUGCCUAGGAAUCUGCCUGGUAGUGGGGGAUAACGUCCGGAAACGGGCGCUAAUACCGCAUACGUCCUGAGGGAGAAAGUGGGGGAUCUUCGGACCUCACGCUAUCAGAUGAGCCUAGGUCGGAUUAGCUAGUGGGUGGGGUAAAGGCCUACCAAGGCGACGAUCCGUAACUGGUCUGAGAGGAUGAUCAGUCACACUGGAACUGAGACACGGUCCAGACUCCUACGGGAGGCAGCAGUGGGGAAUAUUGGACAAUGGGCGAAAGCCUGAUCCAGCCAUGCCGCGUGUGUGAAGAAGGUCUUCGGAUUGUAAAGCACUUUAAGUUGGGAGGAAGGGCAGUAAGUUAAUACCUUGCUGUUUUGACGUUACCAACAGAAUAAGCACCGGCUAACUUCGUG